rnacentral:misc_RNA from 1 species
AGAGUUAAAUAGUACGUGAAAUUGUUGAAAGGGAAACGAUUGAAGUCAGUCGUGCCGGUGAGAAAUCAGCCCAAUGAGUUUUGGGUUCGGGAGUUGAGGUAGGGUCAAACCACCUCUCUUUUGAACUUGGGAUUUGUUUGGUGUACUUUCUUUUUGGCAGGUCAACGUCGAUUUUGGGGGUUGUAAAAUAACUGGGGGAAUGUGACUCCUUUCGGGGAGUGUUAUAGACCUUGGAAGAUGCAGCCCGUGGGAUCGAGGAUUGCAGCAAAUGCUUUUUUUGCUUGUCGCCUAUCCUUUGAUUGGCGCUCCGCUUGUGACAAUAUUUCUUGACACUUUGUGGGGUUUUGACGGUUACCGGUUAGAGCGAUCUAAAAUUUGCUAAGGAUGUUGACGUAAUGGCUUUAAACGA